UGUCACGGCACCCUAGCUUCGCGCUGCAACAAUGGAGGAUUCAAUAGGAUUUUGGAAGAAAUUGGAAGGGAAAAGGAAGAACUCAGAGAAGCAGAGAUAGAACAGAGAAGAAUUGAAUUAGAUGGGGAAUUCUGUUUUUACAUCGUUCAAUUCACAUCUCUUCUCUGCCGAUCCUUAUAUAGCAAUGUGCCAUUGGAUCUCUCUCCCUUACAUGUGGCCCAGUCAGUCACUACUGGGUCCACUCACUCCCAUGAUAGGCCGGAUUGGGCCGCUGUUCACGACGCGACUUUCCGAGCCCAUCUUGGUGUGACGAAGAAGCUUCAUCGCUUGUCUGAUCAGGAACAGAAGGUGACGAUGCCGUGACAGAAAGUCAGCUAGUUGUCCUUAUUUGGCAGAGAAGGCCCAAUUGCUCAAACGCUUUUCAACUUCAUUCUUGAGGACAUGAGAUCCGGUCCAACUUCGGUUCGCAUACCUGUCUCCUACUGAAAUAAAUAAUAAAACAUGUAUUAUUAGAAACAAUUACUAGAAUCCUAAAACUAAUCACAUAAAGUUGUAUAUUUGCAUAUUUCAGAAGGUCUUAGUUGGAGCCGUUCUGGAGUUGCAACCUUUGUGCUCUCAGACAUCUUAAUCCUGAACACAAAUCUUUGCUAUCCAGAUUCUAUACCUUAGGCAUGGGAUGCAAGGAUUGGUAGCUGUUGCCCAGUGUAGAGAAGAUUUGGAUAAUGUACAAAGAAACCUGUGAGAUUGUUAAUUUUGUACAGGUUUAUCAUGUCUUCAAUACCUCAUGCUGCAACACAAAGAAAAAAAAAACAGUAGCAUGCAAGUCAGAUUGCCAGAACCAUGAGUUCAAGCCGCUGAAAUAAGUCAGUAAUUAUGGUUACCUGUAUUCAGAAUGACUAGCUCCAAUUCAGCGACAUCAAUUUGAUUCAGAGUUACUGCUGC